AGCUUUCUGCAUCCGUGCUGAUAUUUCAUCACACACCAGGGGCUGAUGAGAUUCCCAAAAUAAGUGAAGUG
rnacentral:pre_miRNA from 1 species